UAGAAUGGAUUGACCUGAUGUGCUGAAAACCUUUCUCGUGAGCUUUAUCCUCUUUUUGUUUAAAGGAAAAACCCCAUCUCUGGGUUUGUGUUUAUCUAGACCAUGAUCACCAGACUAAAGAGCAGCUGACCUAUGUUUAUGUGGAAAAUAUUUAAUACAAAUUAAUUAUUUAAAGAAGGAAUUUGAACCGAAAGGAGACACCCCCCACAAAACCAAUUUUCCGUGGCAGUGCGACCAGCUAAUGAGCCCUUCAGUGCUGCUAUUGUGUCCCUCUAGGUCAAGGUGAUUCUGGAAGAGUGGAUUUGGCAGCAGAGAAAGGUCUGAGAUUACAGAAGGAGAGAGUGAGUGAAGCUCCAGCAGCAGAUCCAACUCGAGCCAACUCAUCAGCGAUUAGCUUUGAGUCUCAGCUUGUUUUUAUUUUUAUGUAUUUAUUUUUCCUGC